UGUAAGCGUAUACCAAAGUUGUUGCAGUUAAAACGCUCGUAGUCGGACUUUGGCAGUUCCGGAUGUGUGCACGUCGUGUGCGCACUUCGCGGGGAUUGCUUUUGUGGUCUUGCGUAGGAUGAGGCACUUUUAUUAGUGAACGUCCUCACGCAACCACUUUUUGCUGUGAGAAAAUCAGAGUGCUCAAAGCAGGCAUUUGCCGUGAAUGUAUUAGCAUGGAAUAAUAGAAUAGGACUUGGUUCUAUUUUGUUGGUUUGUUGGGACUGAGUAAUGAUUAAGAGGGACAGUUGGGGGCAUUUGUAUUUCGGUGCUAGAGGUGAAAUUCUUAGAUUACCGAAAGACAAACUGCUGCGAAAGCGUCUGCCAAGGAUGUUUUCAUUGA
rnacentral:rRNA from 1 species